AACGCACAUUGCGCCCCCUGGUAUUCCGGGGGGCAUGCCUGUCCGAGCGUCAUUGCUGCCCUCAAGCCCGGCUUGUGUGUUGGGCCCCGUCCCCCGAUCUCCGGGGGACGGGCCCGAAAGGCAGCGGCGGCACCGCGUCCGGUCCUCGAGCGUAUGGGGCUUUGUCACCCGCUCUGUAGGCCCGGCCGGCGCUUGCCGAUCAACCCAAAUUUUUAUCCAGGUUGACCUCGGAUCAGGUAGGGAUACCCGCUGAACUUAA
rnacentral:misc_RNA from 1 species